AGCGCCUCCCGAAGAUCUCCGUUGCCGGCCCCUGGGAAGCGUUCCCCCAGACUGAGUGAAGGGGAGGAGUCUCUCUGGGCGCGCCUGCGCACUCGUACCCUCACCUGGGCCGCCUACUGGGGCCCCAUCCCACCCCGGAUCCUGGACAAGUCACUUGAGCCUUCUGGCCUCAGUUUGCCAAGGUGGACUCUAGAAGCCUCCAAACUUGUAGCCAGCAUGUGAAGACUGCUUCGGCGGAACAGGUGGAAGAAACCAACAAGAAGGUUCAACAGCUGAGAUGGCGACGCAGCAAGGCACUGUGGAGUGCUUAGGGUGUGAUGGAGCACAAAAGACAACACGGCCAUCCAAUGCAGCUGAGGAAGUCUCCAGGCAUAAUGACUUUUCGUGCCACUGGACCCAGGCUUCCAAUGCUGAGAGAGUGGGACUGUCUCUGUGCAUCGACUUUUCCGCUUAAAUCUUCAUGCACAGGUGUCUUUGCACAAAAACACACAAAGACAAUCGUCAUCCUUGGUUCGAGAGACAACCAACAACCUUGGUAAGGCAUCAGCCCCUCCCUGGCAUUCAGUCCAGGACUCCUCCUUUUCCUUUGUUACCAUUGUAGAGCCAACCAAUGCUCCCUCUCCUCUUCAGACCCCAUGAUCCAAUAGAAAGGUAUUUAAGCUUCCUGCUUUAAUAGUUCUCCCAGGGGUCAGUGACCAGAGCAACCAGUUUCACACAUCCUGCCCUAAGCAGUUCUGUGUGGAGUCCUCCUUUAGCACAAACUCCUUUCCUCAGAGUGGUUUUCUGACUCUUAAAUAGUUCUGUUUUUUACAGUUAACAAUUUCCUACCCUGUGCAAUGGGCUGCAGGAGGAGAGGGCAAAGCCAGCCAGCCUCUGCCCAGAAAGCCCCAAAAUCCGGGAGAGGCAGCCUGAGCCCAGCAGCUCUGCAGACAGACACACAGACACCCCCAGACUGUCCUCUGUCCAUCAGGGCCCAGAGCCUGGGCUCAGCAGCUGCUGCUGCCUUCUGUGGCCUCCCAAAGGGCAGGAGGAGGUUCCUAGGCCUCCCCCAGGCCUCUGAAGGGUCUUUGGGCCUUGUGGGCUGGGGGAGGUGCUGAGGGAGACCCUCCUCAGCUAGCCCAGAGGCCUCAGGCUUUAGGACCUAGAGUCUCAAGCACAAAUCCACAUAUUGGCCAUGCCCCAGGCAGCAGGGGAGGCCACAACUGUGCCCAUCCUGGUGGAGCCUUCCCAGGCACUCAGGGCUUCCUGGACCAGGGUGUCUCCUCCGCCUUCUGGUGGCUUAGUUCUCACAAGAAGGCCAACAAGGAGCCCCAACCACCCUCCGCUCUCACCUUAGCAAGACCUAAGCUGCUCUGCCACCUUGUCAGCCCCCAAUGGGGCUCAGGCCCAGACAAAGGAGCCAGCACUCUACCAGUGACCAAAAAGUAGAAGCUGCUUUUGGGUUUGAGUCAAGGUGUGCCUCCCCUGAGCUGGUGCCCCUUGACUCUGGCAGACCAGGUCAUGGAAGGCUGUGUGGAACCCUGUCCUUCCUGUCCCAGCUCUAUCCAGGGUGGGGGUGCAGGCUGGCCUUUCCUGAACCUUCAUGGAGUGGUGGUUAGGUCUUCAGGAAGAGUCCAGGCAGCCCUCACCUUGUAGCAGCCCAGGCAGUCCCAGAGCCAAAAGCCAAAGGUCAUUGAUGGGCAGAAAUUGGACCAGAAGGCUAUCAGACCCACUCCAAAAUCAGGGAUUGAGAUGAGUCACUGGCCUAAUCCUGGCCGGCCCCAAUACUGUGGACCAUCUAGAGAGGCCUGGGAUAAUGAAACUGGCAUGACAUGGGCACACAGCCCCUGGAGGGCCUGGAGCCAAAGGAGGGGAAGCCCUCAGAGACAUAAAGGAUCCACAGGCUCCUAGGGAGGGCACCAAGGCACCUGGCACCUGCCUGUUGCCUGGCAAGAGGGUUAUGGAAGCCUGACACGAACCACUGACCCACCUAGCCAAGUCUGGGCUCUGAGAACAACCAGGACACAGGGCUGUCUGUGGCCCACCCUGACCAGGAGGAUCUAAGAAUUUGGCCCCACCUGAAUGAGAGAAUAUUCUUAUUCUCUUAUAUAUGAUUAGAUUUAAAUGUGAUAGUCAUGAUUUUAUAAGGCUUUUCCAUCUGUAUUUUAGUUGUUUUAUAAUUGCUUUAGUUUAGGUCCUAGAGUCAUCCCACCUUUCUGAGUUGAGUUCAUGUAUCAUGUACCCCUUCCUUGUGACUGGGCAUGUUUCAGCAGCUUUCACCUUAAAUUUCAUAACCAGAUAUGGUGUUAUUCAUCAUCACCCAUCCUUACCCAGAGUGGGUCCAGGAAGCAUCCUUCUUCCGCCCAUAACCGUCAAGUGACUCUUAGGUCAAGAUCUCUCUCACGACAUAAGGAAUAUGUCCUAGGAGACCUAACCAAUGGACAAAUAUGGGUUACUUCAUAGUUGAACUAGCCAAUGAACAGUGUUGCUGGGUGUCCUCAUCCUUUGACGGGUAUGAUUAUUCUUAUACUUUAUGCUUUUAUGGAAAACUUGGCUAUUUCUUUAACAUUAUAAAAGGUCUAUUCCAGUGCUCAGGGUCUCCUGUUAUUAAACAGGAGUCUGGCUUUGUAGGAGGACUUAUCCCUCUUCCAAUAAAAUCUAAACAAUUACCUGU